GACGAACGCUGGCGGCGUGCUUAACACAUGCAAGUCGAACGGAAAGGCCCUUCGGGGUACUCGAGUGGCGAACGGGUGAGUAACACGUGGGUGAUCUGCCCUGCACUCUGGGAUAAGCCUGGGAAACUGGGUCUAAUACCGGAUAGGACCACACACUUCAUGGUGAGUGGUGCAAAGCUUUUGCGGUGUGGGAUGAGCCCGCGGCCUAUCAGCUUGUUGGUGGGGUAAUGGCCCACCAAGGCGACGACGGGUAGCCGGCCUGAGAGGGUGACCGGCCACACUGGGACUGAGAUACGGCCCAGACUCCUACGGGAGGCAGCAGUGGGGAAUAUUGCACAAUGGGCGCAAGCCUGAUGCAGCGACGCCGCGUAAGGGAUGACGGCCUUCGGGUUGUAAACCUCUUUCAGUAGGGACGAAGCGAAAGUGACGGUACCUACAGAAGAAGGACCGGCCAACUACGUGCCAGCAGCCGCGGUAAUACGUAGGGUCCGAGCGUUGUCCGGAAUUACUGGGCGUAAAGAGCUCGUAGGUGGUUUGUCGCGUUGUUCGUGAAAACUCACAGCUUAACUGUGGGCGUGCGGGCGAUACGGGCAGACUAGAGUACUGCAGGGGAGACUGGAAUUCCUGGUGUAGCGGUGGAAUGCGCAGAUAUCAGGAGGAACACCGGUGGCGAAGGCGGGUCUCUGGGCAGUAACUGACGCUGAGGAGCGAAAGCGUGGGUAGCGACCAGAAAGAGAUACCCUGGUAGUCCACGCCGUAAACGGUGAGUACUAGGUGUGGGUUUCCUUCCUUGGGAUCCGUGCCGUAGCUAACGCAUUAAGUACCCCGCCUGGGGAGUACGGUCGCAAGACUAAAACUCAAAGGAAUUGACGGGGGCCCGCACAAGCGGCGGAGCAUGUGGAUUAAUUCGAUGCAACGCGAAGAACCUUACCUGGGUUUGACAUGCACAGGACGUACCUAGAGAUAGGUAUUCCCUUGUGGCCUGUGUGCAGGUGGUGCAUGGCUGUCGUCAGCUCGUGUCGUGAGAUGUUGGGUUAAGUCCCGCAACGAGCGCAACCCUUGUCCUAUGUUGCCAGCGGGUAAUGCCGGGGACUCGUAGGAGACUGCCGGGGUCAACUCGGAGGAAGGUGGGGAUGACGUCAAGUCAUCAUGCCCCUUAUGUCCAGGGCUUCACACAUGCUACAAUGGCCAGUACAGAGGGCUGCGAAGCCGCAAGGUGGAGCGAAUCCCUUAAAGCUGGUCUCAGUUCGGAUUGGGGUUUGCAACUCGACCCCAUGAAGUCGGAGUCGCUAGUAAUCGCAGAUCAGCAACGCUGCGGUGAAUACGUUCCCGGGCCUUGUACACACCGCCCGUCACGUCAUGAAAGUCGGUAACACCCGAAGCCAGUGGCCUAACCUUUUGGAGGGAGCUGUCGAAGGUGGGAUC
rnacentral:rRNA from 1 species